rnacentral:rRNA from 1 species
CCUACGGGAGGCAGCCGUGGGGAAUAUUGCCCAAUGGGGGCAACCCUGACGCACCGCCGCCGCGUGAGCGAAGAAGGCCUUCGGGUUGUAAAACUCUGUCUUGAGGGAAGAAGUUCUGACGGUACCUCCGGAGGAAGCCCCGGCUAACUACGUGCCAGCAGCCGCGGUAAU